UUUCAUCUCCUUUUUUAAAACUAGGUUAUUAACUUCUCUUCACCAAAUAGGUCCAGGUUUGUAUAUUGUUUUCUUUCAGGGAAACAAUGGUCAUCCCUUUACCUAUUACCAUAAUUGCAAUCAAUUAAUGAUUUCUUUCUGUCAUUACUUCUGUUAGACUGUAAGCUACUUGAGGAGAGAGUUGGUAACUCAUAUCCCCCAAGCCGCAUUGAGCACCUGCAUUAUAGUGGGAACUCAAUGAAUGUUUGUUGAAUGAACGAAAAUAGACACAAAACAGCACAUUCAUUCUGAACAGUCAGGCUAUGGGAAGAGUCACAUUUGUGUAGGGAGUGUACAGAGGUCGUGGCAUUUAAACAAACUGACAACAGGGAGGGGGGGAUUUAUUACACAUUUUCUCUCUAGUUGUGGGCAUGAUCCUGCUUUAGUCCCGCAAGCCCAGAAACAGAAAUGUCUAUUUUUGAGUUGCUAUAUAUAGAGAGAAGAAACAGUCCCUCUGAAUGUGGAGUUACUCAGUAUUUUUGGCUCUUUGGCUAUUUUCAAGGUUCUUCAUCUGGACUUAAAAACCAAAUUAAUAGGCUAUCGUUUCCUCUCAUCUUUUACACAGACACUAUUUUGGGAGCAGAUACAUCACCCCAGCCACAUCAGUGAACAGACUGUUUUCACUCUUGUAACACGAAUGGUCACCCAAAGCAUCUUCUCUCUCAUGCUCCAGUAAUUCGCUACUGACCUGCAUUGACUUAAUUUACUUUUAUUAAUUUAAGCUAAGUGAAUUUUAUUUUCUAUGAGUGUCUGUGUGAAACUAAGCACAGAAAACCUGUUUGUGCUUAACUCAUUUUGUUUGCAUCUUCCAAGCCCAAGUUGCUCUCUGGUUUUGGUUUUUGCUUAGUUGUAAGUUGUGCUUGAUCAGUGUCCUCAGCACCAAAUUUGACAACUAGAAGUGCUUCAUAACUCACUGAUGCCGUUUCAGCCCCAUUAAUUAGGAUUGCCAGGAAUUGUCCUUCUUUUGGAGCCACAGACCAGCCGUUUCUGUAGAUGGUAUGUGAAUGAGACUCUUCAGACAGGGCAGGGAAGCUCCCAGCCUCCUGAUCUGGACUCUUGAGUCAGGAAACUGUGACUGGGCCCAGUUCCUCUGCUGUUAACUCUGGGGGAGUGCCUGGGUUAAGAGAGCUUCUGUUUGUACUGAUGUCUCAUCAAAAACCAUGCCACUUAUGAAUUCCCAUCAAUGUCUUUGAUAAACCCAAGUUGGAAGGAAAUAAAAAAAGACUCACAAUCUACUAACUGCUAGUUAUCUAAUAGCUAGAAUUUAAUAAAUGCCACACACUGUGCUGAAUGCUUCACAGGCAUUAUCUUAGUUUGAUCCUUAGACAAACCUGUUUGAGAUAUAUGUUUGUUCCCCUUUUAAAGAUGAGGAGUGUGAGACUCAUAAAGGGUGACUUUUACCUGUUCAAGCUGCUCAGCUAAUAAGUGGUGAAAUUUGGGAUUCAUACCCAGGCAAUAUGGUUUCCAUGCCUUUCUCCACAGGCUACUGCUUCUCAGCUUCAGGAAUAUGGCCAGAAUGCCAUGUGAAGUUCUGUAAGUUAGUUCUUUAGACUAUCCAGGUUUCAUAGUAGCCUGGGAUCCUUAGGAGUGAAUUGCUUUCACUGUUUUUAAUUAACCUUAGGACUCACCCAGUGUAUCAAAUUUCUUACAGUCCCUUCUCCUGCUCUCACUUCUUAAAAUCCUCUGAGUUGAGGUUGGUGUUAUUUGGUCACAUAUGAGGAGGUCAAAAUCAAGAAGUAGAUGUUUAGGCAUUCAGUAGAGAUUUACUGAGCACUAUACAAGAGAUUUAGCUUAGGUGUAAGCAACUCAAUGACGACGAAGGCAUGGAUUGUACCAUCAAGGACCCCAGGCAUCAUGUUACACUCCCCACUGUAUCUGCAGUUCUUAGCACUGUACAUGGCUCUGGGUUGGUCAUUUGUAAAUAUUUACUAAGUUUCGCAACUGAUGAUGUGGCCAGUGGAUGACUAUUGGUGAAGGGCAUUUUUUCUUUCUUUCUUUUUUUAAUUUUUAAUUUUUUUUUUUUUUUUUUGCUGAUUGUGACUUCAAAUUCUGCACUCUUAGAACAUUCUGAGCUUUUGUAGGUUUGAGAGGUAUCCUGGAAACUGACCCCAGAUGAAAAUUAAUCCUGCCCAUUUUUAUAGGAAAGCUGUGUUAUAAAAACCCAUGUGUUCAAGGGCAACUAGGUCCUACCCGAGCCCGCCAAUGCCUCUUGCAGUCUGUAGGCUGUGUUCUCAUUGAGGUCAGCCACGUACUAGGAAGGAGGAUGAGACUACAGGACGGUCAGGGCAUAUAGCACAUCCUUCAGUCUCCGAUGAAAGAUGCAAAUGAAAACCGCCGUCAUGAAGGCAUUUCUGGGGCACAAAAUGGACAAAGCCCCUACCUGUCCAGAGAGUAUAAUCUCCACCCAUGCUGACAAAUAUGGCUGCCAUGAGCCUCAGAUCAAUAUUACUGAAAGGCCUUCCUGUCCCAGGCUUAUCGGAUAGACGGGCAACUCAUAUUGCCAUAAAUAUAUGAUGACUUUUUCAUCGCGUGUUAACGGUCUUCAGCAUUUCAGAAAGCACAAAUAUGUAGGUGGAUGGUACCUGUGUUUGCUAAUAGCUGUAUUUGUUUUAAUUUUAUGAUUGCCUUUGUUCCAUCUUUAGUUCUAAAAAGGCUUAUGAUAAGGGCACCGAUACAGUAAACCAUGAGAUUAUUAAAACAAAAUAAAUCAUGUGAGGCUAACAAUGGAAGUGGGGGAGAAUAAUGGUAAGAAAGAAGAUGAUGGAGGGUAAAAAGUUAUACGAAGAAAUCAUAAGAUUUCAUUUACUCAAAUUUAUUAAGAAUCUUAAGGCUUUGGGAUUUUGAUUGAUGCCAAGGAGUAGGGAGGAAGAUAUAAAUAUGAUUAAGACCAGGUUCUUACAAGUAGAGGAAAUGGCUUAGAGGUAAAGGCUUGGAGGUAAAGGGAAUUAUGUAUUCUUGGAACAGAAAGUGGAUCAUUGUGUGUGUAUGUGUGUGUGUGUGCACACCUAUUUGAGUUUAUUGAUGAUGAUGGGGGAAAGCCACAGUCAAUGAACCUAGAGAUAAGUAAGGACCAGAUAACUUAGGGCUCUGUUAAGGCAAGUUAAGGAGUUUAGCUUUUACUCUAAGGACAAUUGGGAACCAUUGAAGUGGAUCAAAUUUUCCAUUUAGAAAGAUAACUCUCCCUGCAGUGUGGAGAAUGGAUUGCAGUGGAAGGAGACAGGAGAGGAACAUCAGUUAGGGGCUGUUGCAGGUGAGAAAUGAAGGAAGCUUUGGGUGAGAAUAAUGGCCAUGGGAGUGAAGAGAACAGGGUGGAUCUAUGAGAUAUGAGGCGGGACAGCCAAUGUACCUUGUGGAUUAAUUGUGGCUCUCACCUUUCAUUUUGGAAGGUUCUACGUGGGUGCAGGUAGCAUUUAAUGAGACAGCAGAAGUAGGAGUAGGAGCAAAUAUUGUGUCUAAGGGAGAAGAAGGCAAAUUAAGCUGUAGGUAUGAUAUUUAAGAUGUUAGGAAGGCACUUGGGUAAAGUCAGAUGUUUGGUAGGCAGUUGACUGUAUGAACCUGACACUCAAAUGAGUGGGAUUAGUGCCAUAUUUGGAAGAUUUGGAGUAUAUAUGGUUUUUAAGUCACUAGAAUAGAAGGAGUUAUCAAGGUAGAGUUUGGAGUGAGAAGUGAGGAGGACCCAAGAUCUCUUUGGAUCCCAACAUUGACAUCAAGAGGUUUCCCAGAGGAGAAAGAAGUCCAAGCACUCAUUAAAAAGUAGGAGUAUCAAGGAGAAUACGACACAGCCUGUCUUAUGAUACUGUAGGGUACCUUGGUGCCGUAAACCAUGGCACUGAGUGAUUAACUCAAGGGGAACUCGUACUGAAAAAAAGAUGAGAACCCAGGACUCAUCUCUGGGGUCUUGCAUUAUUUUCAGGUGACCUUCAAUUUCUGAAAGUCCCCAUGCCAUUGUUUUGGUUUGAAAUGGAGAGAAUCGUGUCUUCAGUGAUACACUGUGAAUUACUGACUGCUUUUCCAGACAUCUCAACUGUAACUUUAAUCAUCUGAGUGCUCGUUCUUAUCACAGUUCCAGCAGUGCCCCAGGACUCAUUAAAUUGCUGGGGGUAUUUGAAGGCAUCCCAAUUAAGGACCCAUUUUAUGUGCAUAGUCGAAAUCCUGGAAAUUAUUGUCUCAUUUGAGACACAGGAGUAGGUGCUGAUAUCUGCUAGGAUGAAUGAUAAUGUGGACCCCAGUGAUUUGCUGUCCUUCAUCGUUUGAUCUGCUUUAAUGACCAGAGUGUAAGUCGCCAAUUGUUGUGUGCAGAUAGGUGUUACAAAUGGAGUUGUAAAUUCAGUUCCUUAAAAAAAAGAGUGGGUAUGAUAUUCUCCCCUGCAGUGCAGUUUAUAGAUGACCCUGGGGCAAAGUGAGAUGAAGCCCAGAAUGCCCUCUGAGGGAUGGAGUGCAUGGCUGUGCACAUGAGCACACACACACACAGGCUUAGGUUCUCAAAAUUGAUAUAAUUUC